AACGAACGCUGGCGGCGUGCUUAACACAUGCAAGUCGAACGCGAACGGGACUUCGGUUCCUAGUAGAGUGGCGCACGGGUGAGUAACGCGUAGAUAACCUGUCUUCAUAUCCGGAAUAACACGCCGAAAGGGGUACUAAUACCGGAUAUUCUUGCAUUUCACAGGUAAGGCAAGGAAAGGUGGCCUCUGAUUCAAGCUACUGUAUGAAGAGGGGUCUGCGUACCAUUAGCUAGUAGGUGGGGUAAUGGCCUACCUAGGCGACGAUGGUUAGCGGGUCUGAGAGGAUGAUCCGCCACACUGGCACUGGAAUACGGGCCAGACUCCUACGGGAGGCAGCAGUGAGGAAUAUUGCGCAAUGGGGGCAACCCUGACGCAGCGACGCCGCGUGAGUGAGGAAGGUCUUCGGAUCGUAAAGCUCUGUCAAGAGGGAAGAAGUGCAAGGCAGCGAAUAACUGUUUNGUUGA
rnacentral:rRNA from 1 species